rnacentral:rRNA from 1 species
UGGCGAACGGGUGAGUAACACGUGGGUGAUCUGCCCUGCACUUCGGGAUAAGCUUGGGAAACUGGGUCUAAUACUGGAUAGGAGCCAUCUUUAGUGUGGUGGUUGGAAAGUUUUUUCGGUGUAGGAUGAGCUCGCGGCCUAUCAGCUUGUUGGUGGGGUAAUGGCCUACCAAGGCGGCGACGGGUAGCCGGCCUGAGAGGGUGUACGGCCACAUUGGGACUGAGAUACGGCCCAG